GUUGCAGGGCAAAUAAGCAAUAUUGUUUGCGGUAAAAUUGCGCUGCGGUCCUUCUGUAUAUUUAGAUAAACGGUUAUGCUUACGGUCGUUGUAUAAAGACAGUCGAUCUGUGUAUUCAGUUUCUUUGCAUAAUUUAUAUCACGAUUAGAAAGAACUGACGACUUUUAAUCACACAGAGCAGCAGCCAAGAACAGAAUAUGCUUUGAAAGCCAGGUCUUUAGUAAUACCAUAGGAUCCUAGUUGGACAAUUUAGCAAAAUGGGGGUCUUAAUAUUGGGCGUUACCCUCCUAGGUUCUUUUAUCCGCUGCCGUAUCUACGGCUUUCCCGUUCUGGAUUAAUUUUCUUUAUUAAUAUUAUUAUUAUUAUUAUUAUUACUUGUUUCUUUUUUAUAUAUUUGAUAUAAAUUAAUUAUUUGUAAGGGUUAUUUCGUCUGUACCAACAGAUUAACGCUUUUUAUGA